UUUUAAAUUUUUCCAAAAUAUUAUGCCGUGGUGCUCCGGUGAACAACCCCUCGUCAACGCCUAGCGGUCUCCGCCGUCAAAUGAAUCGUGGAUCUAUUUUUAGUAUUUCAUGACGACUAGAGAAAACGUUUCCAAAAAAUUUACUGGAGUACAUUCCCGACUGAACACGUACACCUGUUAUUCUGUUACCACCCUCCCGCCCUAACGCGCGUACUCUCUAUCUCCGAUCGGCGCCCAACAAUGGCGGCGACCACGCCUCGAACCCUUAAUCCUCCUCUUCACAACCGAACCCAUCCCAAAUCGUCACCCCGGCAUCAAAACCCAGUCACAAACAUCAAACCCCUAUCACCUCAUUCCGCCAAACACCGCCGUGUCCUCCCCCUCCUGGCUUCGCUCCAGCCCAACAACGGCAACGGAUCGCAAGGCCAGAACGCCGUCGAGCUGCGGAGGCUUCUAGAAGACUUCCCCGACGAAUCCAAUUCGAAAGACUUGAAUACCCUCCCAAGGCCUUUGACUUCGGCACAUCUAUCGAAUGUGGUUUCUAAUGGGUCUCGCCUUCGAGUGGCUUACCAGGGAGUUCAUGGUGCAUACAGUGAAUCUGCAGCAGAGAAGGCGUACCCCAAUUGUGAAGCAGUUCCUUGUGACCAGUUUGAGACAGCUUUCAAUGCUGUUGAACGGUGGCUUGUUGAUAGAGCAGUUUUACCGAUUGAGAAUUCUCUGGGGGGAAGCAUCCACAGGAAUUAUGACCUUUUACUUAGGUACAGUUUGCAUAUAGUUGGGGAAGUGAAACUUCCAAUUCGGCAUUGUUUACUAGCUAACCAUGGUGCUAAAAUAGAAGACCUGAAGAGGGUUCUAAGCCAUUCGCAGGCUCUUGCACAGUGUGAGAACACACUAACAAAGUUGGGAAUGGUCAGGGAAGCUGUGGAUGAUACUGCUGGUGCAGCAAAGUUUGUCGCUUUCCACAAACUGAAAGAUGCUGGAGCAGUUGCUAGCUCUGAUGCUGCCAGGAUCUAUGGAUUGGAUAUACUUGCCCAAGAUAUUCAGGAUGACUCCGACAAUGUCACUCGAUUUCUGAUGCUUGCAAGAGAACCUAUCAUUCCUGGCACUGAUAGGCCGUUCAAGACAAGUAUAGUUUUCUCACUGGACGAAGGUCCUGGAAUGCUUUUCAAGGCACUUGCCGUUUUCGCAAUGAGAGAGAUUAACCUAACUAAGAUUGAAAGUCGUCCACUGCAGAAGCAGGCCUUGAGAGCACUCGAUGAAAGUAAUAAUGGGUUUCCAAAGUACUUCCCUUAUCUGUUCUAUGUGGAUUUUGAAGCGUCAAUGGCUGACCAAAAUGCACAGAAUGCCCUUGGGCAUCUAAUGGAGAUGGCUACGUUCUUGAGAGUACUGGGAAGUUACCCGGCAGACAUUAGCAUGGCAUGAAUGUCCAUCAGAGCCUCGUAAGAAUCCAUUAUCUUUUGCUAUUAUACAAAUUAGACCUUUCAGCGUUUUUGGAGGGGGCUUUUCUUGCCAAAGAAUUGGACCUGAAUUUUGUUUCCACUUUUCAUACAAGGAAGACUGUUUGCUUUCUUUCUUGUUUUUUCUUUUUCUUUUUUUGGGUAAUUCGGAAAUUCUGCUGUUUGCUUUCAUUAAAAGAUGAAUAUAGAGGUUAGGCUUUUGUCGCCAAUGCAAAGUUGCACCACCAGACUUUUGUGUUUUGUUCUAUAUCUUGCC